rnacentral:rRNA from 1 species
CAGUAGCCGCGGUAAUACGUAGGGUGCGAGCGCUAAUCGGAAUUACUGGGCGUAAGGCGUGCGCAGGCGGUUCGUUAAGACAGAUGUGAAAUCCCCGGGCUUAACCUGGGAACUGCAUUUGUGACUGGCGAGCUAGAGUAUGGCAGAGGGGGGUAGAAUUCCACGUGUAGCAGUGAAAUGCGUAGAGAUGUGGAGGAAUACCGAUGGCGAAGGCAGCCCCCUGGGCCAAUACUGACGCUCAUGCACGAAAGCGUGGGGAGCAAACAGGAUUAGAUACCCCGGUAGUCCCUGUCUCUUAUAC